rnacentral:misc_RNA from 1 species
UUCUCCUGUAUCAGUUUAUUGAUGCGUAUACGUGGUUACACUUGCUGAAAAAUUCACACGUGACACACGGUCAUUCAUCCUAUGUGUUUUCUACGAGCUCUGUUCCGGAUUUAUUCUCCACUUGUUACCUAACGUUAUACAGGAAGAAACCAAGAUACUGUAAUUUGUUCUUAUCAAACAGGUUUCUCAGUUUUAUCGAUCUAUAACCAGUUAGCUGUUUUUGACGGGUAUACUAGUCAUGAAGAAAUGGCGAUAGUUCGUGUUACGACGAGUAUACUCGUCGUGCAUAAAAG